UUUAUUCACCGGGGGUGCUUUAGGGGCGAAAUAAAUUUGCUUCGAAGGCUGAGAAAUACCCUAAAACCUGCUCUGGUUAAUGCCUGCGGAGGGAGUGUGAAGCAUCUGAAUU
rnacentral:ncRNA from 2 species